UGGCGAACGGGUGAGUAACGCGUGAGGAACCUGCCUCAAAGAGGGGGACAACAGUUGGAAACGACUGCUAAUACCGCAUAAGCCCACGGCUCGGCAUCGAGCAGAGGGAAAAGGAGCAAUCCGCUUUGAGAUGGCCCCGCGUCCGAUUAGCUAGUUGGUGAGGUAACGGCCCACCAAGGCGACGAUCGGUAGCCGGACUGGGAGGUUGAACGGCCACAUUGGGACUGAGACACGGCCCAG
rnacentral:rRNA from 1 species